ensembl:lncRNA LINC01392 long intergenic non-protein coding RNA 1392
ACUCAAAGCCUUUGUUACACUAUUUAUGACUCACACUUAGUAAUGCUCACCCAAUUACCUUUCCUAGUAUAUCUUCAUCUUGUUAAAGUGUAUGAGAACUGCUUUGGAGAGUCUAAUAAGUCCAAAUGAGCAUUAAAAAGGAGAGAGAGUAGGAGAAGUAUCUCUUGAGAAAGAUUAAAAAGCGAGCACAGGCUGAGUGCAGUGGGUCACGCCUGUAGUCUCAGCACUUUGGGAGGUCGAGGUAGGCAGAUUGCUGGAACUCAGGAGUUCGAGACCAGCCUGGACAACAUGGCAAAAUCCUGUUUCUACAAAAGGACUGUUUUCUAUUUGAUUGGGAAGUGUUAGAAUGGCAACAGUGACAAAUCCUGUGGCAAAUCUUCAUGCAAAGGUCUUUGGUGUUUCUUUAAUUUCAUAUAUAUUACCUACUAUGUGACAAGCACACUGUGCCAGGUUCCAAAUAUAAAAGAGUAAAUUAAGGAAUGCAUUAUAGCUGUUAAAGCAAUCUUAAGGGAAAUCCGAAGCUUCCACUGCAGCACCAUGCUUAGUAAAACCAACUGGAUAAUAU